rnacentral:rRNA from 1 species
CACUCCUACGGGAGGCAGCAGUGAGGAAUAUUGGACAAUGGGUGGAAGCCUGAUCCAGCCAUCCCGCGUGCAGGAAGACGGCCCUAUGGGUUGUAAACUGCUUUUAUCUGGGGAUAAACCUACUUACGUGUAAGUAGCUGAAGGUACCAGAAGAAUAAGCACCGGCUAACUCCGUGCCAGCAGCCGCGGUAAUACGGAGGGUGCAAGCGUUAUCCGGAUUUAUUGGGUUUAAAGGGUCCGUAGGCGGACUGAUAAGUCAGUGGUGAAAUCCGACAGCUUAACUGUCGAACUGCCAUUGAUACUGUUAGUCUUGAGUAAGGUUGAAGUGGCUGGAAUAAGUAGUGUAGCGGUGAAAUGCAUAGAUAUUACUUAGAACACCAAUUGCGAAGGCAGGUCACUAAGUCUUAACUGACGCUGAUGGACGAAAGCGUGGGGAGCGAACAGGAUUAGAAACCCUUGUAGUCCCAUG